UUGUGCCAUUCUGUUUGUGAAAAAAAUGGAAUACAUCUUGGAAACGAGUGCGGAGUACAUUUAUAGUAAAUUUCCAACAGACAAAUAGAAAUUAUUCGGACGAGAAACGUUCGUGAGCCCUUAGAUUACUCCUGACCACUCAAGUGGGGUUGCUGCCGGACUAUCAACUAGGACAGCAUUUUUUUCCGUAUCUUUCCGGCAUCGUUAGCCAUCGUGGGAAUUUAGCAGACUUGUUUAAAUUGGAUUUAAUGCUAAACCACCCUUAGCACAUAAGAUUGAGCUACUUGUUCCUCCCAUAGGUACUCCCAAUAAGAUCAGUGGUGACACUGUCAAGGUAACUGGAAGCAAGAUGAUUCUGAAAAUCUUUCUUGACCUUCCAAUUCGAUUUGUCAAUCGCUUUGGAGGAACGAUGUGCGGAAACGACAAUAUUUGUUAGUUUUCAGGAAUCUAAAAGAAGUGCGUCAUUUGAUAAUUAAGCAUACUAUACAAUGUUAAUUUGAUGGUUUGCAUACCAUUCAGACAACGAUUACAUUGAUGAUAGCAAAAGUGUUGCUGUCAAAUGUUCCACGAAGUAAAUUCUUUGGUGUUAAGGGAUUGUGUCAUCUUCCUAAAUACUGGGAAAGCCAAUUGAACAUACCGUUGCCGCAACGUGCUGUCGGGUAUAAAGCGACUCUGCUUCGCGAUGUUCAGAAGAAUUUCCGUCUCAAGCUGCUGACUCGAGGCGCACGGUUCAACAUUCUAUGAACGAAAAGUCCAGAGUAUGGUGAUGACCGGUGGCAGUAUGCUAGUAAGUCCAGUAGGAAUUCUGGCUGGCUCUAAUUAGAAUCGGUUGUGUCGCUGGAGCUGAAUCAUUUUCCGGGUGGAUUUACUGGGAUAGUGCAGGUGUAAUGAAAGGCAAUAAAGUUGGCAAAUUUUUCGCAACUUAUUAAAAUGUUGCUGUUUUAAAUAAAUUUCAUU